UUUCCGUAGGUGAACCUGCGGAAGGAUCAUUACCGAGUGAGGGUCUCUCAGGCCCGACCUCCCACCCUGUGUUUUUGUGACCUUGUUGCUUUGGCGGGUACGCCUCGAUGAGAGGCCGCCGGAAGCUCACCGCUUUGGGCCCGUGCCCGCCAGUAGCCCCCUUAAAUUCUUAAUAAACCUAUCGUCUGAGUCUAGAUAUAAUAAAAAAAACUUUCAACAACGGAUCUCUUGGUUCUG
rnacentral:misc_RNA from 1 species